rnacentral:tRNA from 1 species
GUCCCUGUAGCGCAAUGGAUAACGCUUUGGACUUCUAAUCCAAAGGUCGUGGGUUCGAAUCCUACCUGAGAAGCA